AGGUCCGAUCAUACCAGCACUAAUGCACCAAAUCCCAUCAGAACUAAGCAGUGAAGCGUGCUUGGGCGAGAGUAGUACUACGAUGGGUGACUUCCUGGGAAGUCCUCGUGUUGCACCUC
rnacentral:rRNA from 2 species